rnacentral:tRNA from 1 species
GCUCGUUGCGCGGCCAGUUCAGUGCGCUGGCGUUGGGUUUGUCGACGAACGCGGCGUACGUGUUGGCCAGUGCCAGGUCGGUGGCGGGCA